rnacentral:rRNA from 1 species
UACAGAGGGGGCAAGCGUUGUUCGGAAUUACUGGGCGUAAAGGGCGCGUAGGCGGCCUGUUAAGUCGAACGUGAAAUCCCCGGGCUCAACCCGGGAACUGCGUCCGAUACUGGCAGGCUUGAAUUCGGGAGAGGGAUGCGGAAUUCCAGGUGUAGCGGUGAAAUGCGUAGAUAUGUGGAGGAACACCGAUGGCGAAGGCAGCCUCCUGGGCUAACACUGACGCUCAUGCACGAAAGCAUGGGGAGCAAACAGG